rnacentral:rRNA from 1 species
AUUGAACGCUGGCGGCAGGCCUAACACAUGCAAGUCGAACGGUAGCACAGAGAGCUUGCUCUUGGGUGACGAGUGGCGGACGGGUGAGUAAUGUCUGGGAAACUGCCUGAUGGAGGGGGAUAACUACUGGAAACGGUAGCUAAUACCGCAUAACGUCGCAAGACCAAAGAGGGGGACCUUCGGGCCUCUUGCCAUCAGAUGUGCCCAGAUGGGAUUAGCUAGUAGGUGGGGUAACGGCUCACCUAGGCGACGAUCCCAAGCUGGUCUGAGAGGAUGACCAGCCACACUGGAACUGAGACACGGUCCAGACUCCUACGGGAGGCAGCAGUGGGGAAUAUUGCACAAUGGGCGCAAGCCUGAUGCAGCCAUGCCGCGUGUAUGAAGAAGGCCUUCGGGUUGUAAAGUACUUUCUGCGAGGAGGAAGGCGAUACGGUUAAUAACCGUGUCGAUUGACGUUACUCGCAGAAGAAGCACCGGCUAACUCCGUGCCAGCCGCCGCCGUAA